UACAGAGGUGGCAAGCGUUGUUCGGAAUUACUGGGCGUAAAGGGCGCGUAGGCGGUUUCGUAAGUCCUGUGUGAAAUCCCCCGGCUCAACUGGGGAACUGCACAGGAAACUGCGAGGCUUGAGUUCGGGAGAGGGAAGCGGAAUUCCGGGUGUAGCGGUGAAAUGCGUAGAUAUCCGGAGGAACACCGGUGGCGAAGGCGGCUUCCUGGACCGACACUGACGCUGAGGCGCGAAAGCCAGGGGAGCGAACAGG
rnacentral:rRNA from 1 species